CCUACGGGGUGCUGCAGUGAGGAAUAUUGGUCAAUGGCCGGAAGGCUGAACCAGCCAAGCCGCGUGAAGGACGAAGGUGCCAAGCAUUGUAAACUUCUUUUGUCAAGGGACAAAAUCAGGCUCGAGAGCCUGACCGAGGGUACUUGAAGAAAAAGCAUCGGCUAACUCCGUGCCAGCAGCCGCGGUAAUACGGAGGAUGCGAGCGUUAUCCGGAUUUAUUGGGUUAAAAGGGUGCGUAGGCGGACUGUUAAGUCAGCGGUAAAAGCCCGGGGCUCAACCCCGGCGAGCCGUUGAAACUGGCUGGCUUGAGAGGACGAGAGGUAUGCGGAAUGCGCAGUGUAGCGGUGAAAUGCUUAGAUAUUGCGCAGAACUCCGAUUGCGAAGGCAGCAUACCGGCGGGGAUCUGACGCUGAGGCACGAAAGCGUGGGUAUCGAACAGGAUUAGAUACCCUAGUAGUC
rnacentral:rRNA from 1 species